AACCUGUUCUCUGCUCUCUUCAUAUGCUGUUCUUUGGCCUUUUGAAACCUGCAAAGGAAUUUUCCAUUCCACACUCACACCUUUUGCCCUUCCCAAAAUGCCCUGUGAUGCUUGCAACAGCGUUAGCAAUAUACAGUGCUGAUCUGCUUCCCCCA